GAUGAACGCUGGCGGCGUGCCUAAUACAUGCAAGUCGAGCGAACGGACGAGAAGCUUGCUUCUCUGAUGUUAGCGGCGGACGGGUGAGUAACACGUGGAUAACCUACCUAUAAGACUGGGAUAACUUCGGGAAACCGGAGCUAAUACCGGAUAAUAUUUUGAACCGCAUGGUUCAAAAGUGAAAGACGGUCUUGCUGUCACUUAUAGAUGGAUCCGCGCUGCAUUAGCUAGUUGGUAAGGUAACGGCUUACCAAGGCAACGAUGCAUAGCCGACCUGAGAGGGUGAUCGGCCACACUGGAACUGAGACACGGUCCAGACUCCUACGGGAGGCAGCAGUAGGGAAUCGUCCGAAAUGGGCGAAAGCCUGACGGAGCAACGCCGCGUGAGUGAUGAAGGUCUUCGGAUCGUAAAACUCUGUUAUUAGGGAAGAACAUAUGUGUAAGUAACUGUGCACAUCUUGACGGUACCUAAUCAGAAAGCCACGGCUAACUACGUG
rnacentral:rRNA from 1 species